rnacentral:tRNA from 1 species
GGGCGCAUAGCUCAGCUGGGAGAGCACCUGCCUUACAAGCAGGGGGUUACAGGUUCGAUCCCUGUUGUGCCCACCA